GACGAACGCUGGCGGCGUGCCUAAUACAUGCAAGUCGAACGCUUCUUUCCUCCCGAGUGCUUGCACUCAAUUGGAAAGAGGCGUGGCGGACGGGUGAGUAACACGUGGGUAACCUACCCAUCAGAGGGGGAUGACACUUGGAAACAGGUGCUAAUACCGCAUAACAGUUUAUGCCGCAUGGCAUAAGAGUGAAAGGCGCUUUCGGGUGUCGCUGAUGGAUGGACCCGCGGUGCAUUAGCUAGUUGGUGAGGUAACGGCUCACCAAGGCCACGAUGCAUAGCCGACCUGAGAGGGUGAUCGGCCACACUGGGACUGAGACACGGCCCAGACUCCUACGGGAGGCAGCAGUAGGGAAUCUUCGGCAAUGGACGAAAGUCUGACCGAGCAACGCCGCGUGAGUGAAGAAGGUUUUCGGAUCGUAAAACUCUGUUGUUAGAGAAGAACAAGGACGUUAGUAACUGAACGUCCCCUGACGGUAUCUAACCAGAAAGCCACGGCUAACUACGUG
rnacentral:rRNA from 1 species